rnacentral:lncRNA from 11 species
GAUUGUGAGCUUCUUUAGGUCUCAGUCAUAGGAGGAAAUCAAGGUACAAAUGAUGAUGAUGAUGAUGAUGACGACGACAACAACAACAACAACAAAAGAACAAAAAUCCUUCAAUUACUUGUGGCCUUCUUCAAGAAGAACAUUAGUGAAGUAUUACAUCAUCGGCAAAGUCGCUCUAAUCCGCUCUGGCUUUGACACCAUAUUAACGGCAGUCUCCAAGGAUGUAACAUGAGCACCUGCUUGUCCUAUUUUGAUGCAUUCUUUUCAACUGGUUCAGCCUGAGGAUGUGGUCAAGGUGCUUGGAGAGGUGAGGGCUACCACAUGCAUCCUA